GCCUUCGUGGUGUAGUGGUCAGCACGCUCGACGCGCAACCGAGAGGUCCGUGGUUCGAUUCCCAGCUAAGGGG
rnacentral:tRNA from 1 species